UACGGGGGGGGCAAGCGUUGUUCGGAAUUACUGGGCGUAAAGGGCUCGUAGGCGCCAACUAAGUCAGACGUGAAAUCCCUCGGCUUAACCGGGGAACUGCGUCCGAUACUGGCAGGCUUGAAUCCGGGAGAGGGAUGUGGAAUUCCAGGUGUAGCGGUGAAAUGCGUAGAUAUCUGGAGGAACACCGGUGGCGAAGGCGGCAUCCUGGACCGAUACUGACGCUGAGGAGCGAAAGCGUGGGGAG
rnacentral:rRNA from 1 species